AUAAUAUCUAAUAAAAUGCAAACUAAUAGAAAAGCACAGAUUCCCUUCUGCUACUGUUCCCAACUUCCUCUCAUGGUUCCAAGAAGCCAAGGACUAUCUGAAUUAAAGAUACCAUAGAAAUAACUUUUUUUCCUGUCACUUUAGAGAAACUGAAUCUGAACAAAGUUGAAUAGGCAGACAUCACAAAACAAGGUUUAGAAGUGGAGCAAAAAUAUUUGUCCAGUUAAUGCCUUCUGGAUUUGGAGAAUGUCGAGAAGUCCAGCUAGCUAGGAAAUAAAUUCAACGUGAUUGCUUAACCAAACUUCCUGAAUGGCCACAGUACAAAUUCAUAUCCAAUUCAAGAAUGAACGGAGCAUUGUCUAGUAAAAUGUCAUCAUUUCCUGGCUUUAAGAAGGGGAUGAGAGGAUGCGCUGAGUCUGGGUAGAAUGUUUUGGUCAGAUCUUCAAGUUGAAACCUACAAGCCAAAACAAAAGAGAAGAAAUAACAGCAGCGUCAGGAGGUCCUGGUGUACCUUGAAGCAUGGGAACCCUAAGAGGAAACUGGUGGAAGAGGCUGCAUGCAGAGGCUGGAGGAAGGAAGAGACCCAUCUGAGAAACACAAGAUGAGGCUGGCCCAUCUGCAAGGAUAGGACAGUCUAAAAAUCUGCAGAUCUCUUUCAAAAGAUCACCAUCACGAAGAGUAAUAGCAAUAGAAAAUUAUCAGCAAGCAACAAACAGCAAGAGCCAAUCACCAUUUAUGCCUUUGAGAAUCCGAAAUGCAUAAAACCCAGCCAUUCAAAUGCCCUCAAUAGGAUUUUUAAAAGAUUUUCUAUCUUCAUCUUUAAUGAUGUAUAUACAGGUGUGUCUCUGUGUGCGUUUUUACAUUCGAGUGCAAUGCCCAAG
rnacentral:lncRNA from 1 species